rnacentral:rRNA from 1 species
GGCUCAGAAUGAACGUUGGCGGCGUGGAUUAGGCAUGCAAGUCGUACGGGCCGCAAGGCCAGUGGCGCAAGGGUGAGUAAGGCGACGGUAACCAACCCCGUGAUCGGAACUAGCCGCGGGAAACUGCGGGUAAUGUCCGGCGACGUCCGUGGGGGGCAUCCCCUACGGACCAAAGCCCCGGCGUCGCGGGACGGGCCGUCGUGGUAUUAGCUUGUUGGCGGGGUAACGGCCCACCAAGGCUGUGAUGCCUACCGGGCGUGCGAGCGUGGCCCGGCACACUGGGACUGAGACACUGCCCAGACUCCUACGGGAGGCUGCAGUCGAGAAUCUUCGGCAAUGGGCGCAAGCCUGACCGAGCGACGCCGCGUGGAGGACGAAGGCCUUCGGGUUGUAAACUCCUGUCGAGGGGGAAGAAGGGGCGGCAACGCCCUUGACUGAUCCCUGGAGGAAGCACGGGCUAAGUUCGUGCCAGCAGCCGCGGUAAGACGAACCGUGCGAACGUUAUUCGGAGUCACUGGGCUUAAAGCGCGUGUAGGCGGGACGGCACGUCGGUCGCUGAAAUCCCCCGGCUUAACCGGGGAACGGGCGCCGAUACGACCGCCCUGGAGGGACGUAGGGGGGGCUGGAACUUCCGGUGGAGCGGUGAAAUGCGUUGAGAUCGGAAGGAACGCCCGUGGCGAAAGCGAGCCCCUGGACGUCUACUGACGCUGAGACGCGAAAGCCAGGGGAGCGAACGGGAUUAGAUACCCCGGUAGUCCUGGCCGUAAACGAUGGGCACUGGGUAGGGGGCUCGCCGAUGGGCUCCCUGCCGUAGGGAAACCGUGAAGUGCCCCGCCUGGGGAGUAUGGUCGCAAGGCUGAAACUC